rnacentral:sRNA from 1 species
AGUAAUGAAAAUAAUAAUAAAAAUAUGAUAAAUUACGAGAAAAAGAUGCAACCGUAGAAGGCAUUUGUUCAGAUUACUAUUAUAUAGAACACAUGACAGUUGGUCAUUAAAUAAGCCAAAGUUGCAAUGGUUCAUCAAAUAAACUAAAUAUUGCAAUGGCUAAAUAAAAUAGUUGCAACUACUCAUUUAUAUAUAAAUAUUUUGAUUAUUACAAUA